GGCAGACGGAUUUCUGAGUUCGAGGCCAGCUUGGUCUACAAAAUUCAUCUCUGUGCUUUGAACUUGUGUGGAAAUUAGUCCUUUUGGAACCAUAAAGAUCGAGAUACUACUCCAGAAGAACAUGAAAGAAUUCAAUGAUGCAGACCAAUUUAUGGAAAUCAAAGACGAAAUACUGGCUUCAGACAACUUCUGCUUCAGCACCUGCCACAAACUUCCACAAAGGUAAAGAGAAGAGUAUCAAAUCGCAUUAUAUGCUGGAGAUGCAGGACAAGUAAACACAGCAAACAUGUUGAGCAGAUCAAGUCUCACACAGCUACAACACAGAAGCUGAUGCCAUAUCUGUGCCACUGAGCUAGGAGAAGUUGGAGUUAAUCAGAUUUGAACACCUCUUUAAGAGGUAGUCACUGAUCCUUGAGUUCAAGUGUGAGCUCUCAGAUCUGCUCCAGCCACCACGUCUUUGUUGCACCAUCAUGGACCCUGAUUCUCUGGAUCU